AAAUCACAAUGCGGAACAAUGUUUUGCAAUUGGAUUGAGAACAACGUACAAACCUUAUCGAUAAACAAUUGGAGGGCAAGUCUGGUGCCAGCAGCCGCGGUAAUUCCAGCUCCAAUAGCGUAUAUUAACGUUGUUGCAGUUAAAAAGCUCGUAGUUGAAAUGAAGGGUAGUUGUGUAAUGAAUACAUUCGUGUAUUUUGUUAUUCUACUACCCUCCUUCUAAAUUCGAUAUAUGAGUAUUAAUUUACUUGUAUAUGGUUUUAGACCUUUACUGUGAGAAAAUUAGAGUGUUCAAAGCAGGCAUUUGCUUGAAUAUAUUAGCAUGGAAUAAUCAUGUAUGAUUUUCAUGAUGUAUUUGAUUGGUUUGGUUCAUGAGAAUAAGAUUAAAAGGGACAGUUGGGGGUAUUCAUAUUCAAUAGUCAGAGGUGAAAUUCUCGGAUUUAUGGAAGAUGAAC
rnacentral:rRNA from 1 species